AUAUUACAGUGUCAAAAGGUCUUUUCCACCUGUGCUUGCACAAAGGUGGAAAAAUGACCUUGGGACACGCCCACAAUAUGAGCAAAAAAGUGGAGCGUAAGCUUCACGAUAUGCGAAUAUUGUGGUAGGAUUGUGGGAGUGCGAAGCACGUAACAAUCCGGUAAUAA
rfam:Eubacterium ventriosum ATCC 27560 Scfld0224 genomic scaffold, whole genome shotgun sequence.